rnacentral:lncRNA from 1 species
UUUUUUUUUUUUUUUUUUUUUUUACCUUUGUUGGUUUAAAGUUUGUUUUGUCAAAAAUUAGGAUUGUGACUCCUGCUUUUUUCUGAUUUCCAUUUUCUUCAUAAAUUUUCCUCCAUCCCUUUAUUUUGAGCCUAUGUGUGUCUUUGCACAUGUGAUGGGUCUCUUGAAGACAGCAUAUCGAUCGGUCUUGGCUCUUUAUCCAGCUUGCACUUCUGUGUCUUUCAAUUGGGGCAUUUAGCCUAUUUACAUUUGAUAUUAGUAUCAUUACAUGGGAAUGUGAUCCUGCCAUCAUGAUGCUAGCUGGUUAUUUUGCAGACUUGUUUAUGUGGUUGCUUUAUAGUGUCAUUGGUUCUGUGUACUUCAGUGUGUUUUCGCAGUGGCUGGUAAUUUUUUUUUCUUUCCAUAUUUAGUGCUUCCUUCAGGAACUCUUGCAAGGCAGGCCUGGUGGUGAUGAAUUCUUUCAGCAUUUGCUUGUCUGAAAAGGAUCUUAUUUCUUUGCACAUAAAGCUUACUUUGGCCAGAUAUUAAAUUUUGGCUAAGAAUUCUUUAAGAAUGCUGAAUAUUGACCCCCAAUAUCUUCUGGCUUGUAGGGUUUCCACUGAAAGGUCUGCUGUUAGUCUGAUGGGUUUCCCUUUUUAGGUGACCUGACCUUUCAUUCUCUCUGACUGCCCUUUACAUUUUUUCUUUAAUUUUGACCUUGGAGAAUCUGAUGAUUAUGUGUCUUGGGGUUGAUCUUCUCAUGGAGUAUCUUACUGAGGUUCUCUGCAUUUCCUGAAUUUGAAUGUUGGCCUGUCAUGCUAGGUUUGGAAAGUUCUCCUGGAUAACAUCCUAAAGUAUGUUUCCAACUUGUUUCCAUUAUCCCCAUCUCUUUCAGGUUCCCCAGUCAGUCAGUGGUUUGGUCUUUUUACAUAACUCCAUAUUAUUUUUUUGGAGGUUUUGUUCAUUACUCUUCAUUCUUUCCGUAUUCUUCUCUGCCUAUGUCAGAAAGAUAGUCUUUAAGCUCUGAGUCUCUUUCCUCUUCUUGGUCUAUUCUACUAUUGAUACUUGUGAUUGCAUUGUUAAGUUCUUGUGUUGUUUUUGGCUCCAUCAGGUCAGUUAUGUUCCUCUCUAAACUGGCUAUUCUGGUCAUCAGCUCUUGUAUUGUUUUAUCAUUGAUUCUUGGCUUCUUUGCAUUGGGUUAUGACAUGCUCCUUUAGCUCAGCAAAGUUCAUUAUUACCCAGGUUCUGAAGCCUACUUCUGUCAAUUCAGUCAUCUCAGCCUCACCCAGUUCUGUGCCUUUGCUGGAGAGGUGCUGCAGUCAUUUGGAGAAGAGGCAUUCUGGCUUUUUGAGUUUUCAGCAUUUUUUUGUGUUGAUUUCAUCAUCUUUGUGGGCUUAUCUACCUUCAAUCUUUGAGGUUGGUGACCUUUGAAUGGGGUUUUUGUGCGGUCUUUUUGUUGAUGUUCUUGUUGUUGUUUUCUGCCUGUUUUCUUUUAACAGUCAAGCCACUGACUGUUAGCAACUGUAGGGCUGCCACAGUUUGCUGGGGUCUGCUCAAGACCCUAGUUGCCUCGGUUUUUCCUGUGCCUUGAGGUAUCACCAGUGAAAGCUGCAAAACAGCAAAGAUGGCAGCCUUCUCCUUCCUUUGGAAGCUCUGUCCCAGGGCGGUACUGACCUGUUGCUGGCCUGAAGAUUCCUGUAAGAGGUGUCUAGAGACUCCUGUUGGGAGGUCUCACCCAGUCAGGAGGAACAGGAUCAGGGACCUACUUAUAGAAGCAGUCUGGCUGCUUUUGGUACAGCAGGUGUGCUAUGCUGGGGGAGGACCCUUCCUCAUCCAGAUUGCCCGGACUCUCCAAAGUGAGCAGGCUGGAACAGCUUUGUCAACUGAACCAUAGAGACAGUGGUCGCCUCUCCCCUGGGAGCUCCAUCCCAGACAGAGUUUAGAUUUCUGUCAGUAUAAGCCUGGCUGAAGUGACUGGAAGCCCCCCCAAAGGGAGGCACCAUAUAGUGGGGAGGAAUGGGUCAGGGUCCUACUUAAAGAACCAGUCUGGGCCAGGUGCAGUGGCUCAUGCCUGUAAUCCUAGCACUUUGGGAGGCUGAGGCAGGUGGAUCACCUGAGGUCAGAAGUUCAAGACCAGCCUGGUCAACACGGUGAAACCGUGUCUCUAUGAAAAAUGCAAAAAUUAGCGAGGUGUGGUGGUACCUGACUGUAAUCCCAGCUACUUGGGAGGCUGAGGCAGGAGAAUUGCUUGAACUCAACAGGUGGAGGUUGCCAAGAGCCAAGAGCAUGCCACUGCACUCCAGUCUGAGCAACGGAGUGAUAUUCUAGCUUAAAAAAAAAAAAAAAAAAAAA